UACGUAGGGGGCUAGCGUUGUCCGGAAUCAUUGGGCGUAAAGCGCGUGUAGGCGGUCCGGUAAGUCCGCUGUGAAAGUCGGGGGCUCAACCCUCGGAUGCCGGUGGAUACUGUCGGGCUUGAGUACGGAAGAGGCGAGUGGAAUUCCUGGUGUAGCGGUGAAAUGCGCAGAUAUCAGGAGGAACACCAAUGGCGAAGGCAGCUCGCUGGGACGUGACUGACGCUGAGGCGCGAAAACCAGGGGAGCAAACGGG
rnacentral:rRNA from 1 species